rnacentral:rRNA from 1 species
UAAUACGGAGGAUGCAAGCGUUGUUCGGAAUCACUGGGAUUAAAGCGCAUGUAGGCGGAACGGAAAGUGUUUUGUGAAAUCCCUCGGCUCAACCGAGGAAUUGCUUAGCAAACUUCCGUUCUUGAGGCAGGUAGAGGUGACCGGAACCUUCGGUGGAGAGGUGAAAUUCGUAGAUAUCGAAGGGAACGCCGGUGGCGAAAGCGGGUCACUGGGCCUGUCCUGACGCUGAGAUGCGAAAGCGUAGGUAGCGAACGGGAUUAGAUACCCCGGUAGUCUACGCCGUAAACGAUGCGUACUAGGUACGAGGAUCUCUGACGAUUUUCGUGCCGGAGCAAAAGUGUUAAGUACGCCGCCUGGGGAGUACGGCCGCAAGGCUA